rnacentral:tRNA from 1 species
GGGGCUAUUGUCUAAAGGGAGGAUUCUUGACUGGCAGUCAAGCAGUAUGGGUUCGAUUCCCAUUAGCUCCACCA